UGUUGCUGAGUGGUUAAGGCAAUAGACCAGAAAUCCUUUGGUGUUUCCCCGCGCAGGUUCAAAUCCUGCUGAUAA